GCUUAACGCGAAGAACCUUACCUACCCUUGACAUACAGUGAAUUUAGCAGAGAUGUUGAAGUGCCUUCGGGAACACUGAUACAGGUGCUGCAUGGCUGUCGUCAGCUCGUGUCGUGAGAUGUUGGGUUAAGUCCCGUAACGAGCGCAACCCUUGUCCUUAGUUACCAGCACGUAGAGGUGGGGACUCUAAGGAGACUGCCGGUGACAAACCGGAGGAAGGCGGGGAUGACGUCAAGUCAUCAUGGCCCUUACGGGUAGGGCUACACACGUGCUACAAUGGCCGGUACAGAGGGCAGCGAAGGGCGACCUGGAGCGAAUCUUUAAAAGCUGGUCGUAGUCCGGAUUGGAGCCUGCAACUCGACCUCAUGAAGUCGGAGUCGCUAGUAAUCGCAGAUCAGCAACGCUGCGGUGAAUACGUUCCCGGGUCUUGUACACACCG
rnacentral:rRNA from 1 species